rnacentral:rRNA from 1 species
UACAGAGGGUGCAAGCGUUGUUCGGAAUUAUUGGGCGUAAAGCGCGUGUAGGCGGCUCCUUAAGUCUGAUGUGAAAGCCCCGGGCUCAACCUGGGAAGUGCAUUGGAAACUGGGGAACUUGAAUACGGGAGAGGGUAGUGGAAUUCCUGGUGUAGGAGUGAAAUCCGUAGAUAUCAGGAGGAACACCGGUGGCGAAGGCGGCUACCUGGACCGAUAUUGACGCUGAGACGCGAAAGCGUGGGGAGCAAACAGG